GACGAACGCUGGCGGCGUGCUUAACACAUGCAAGUCGAACGGAAAGGCCCUGCUUUUGUGGGGUGCUCGAGUGGCGAACGGGUGAGUAACACGUGAGUAACCUGCCCUUGACUUUGGGAUAACUUCAGGAAACUGGGGCUAAUACCGGAUAGGAGCUCCUGCUGCAUGGUGGGGGUUGGAAAGUUUCGGCGGUUGGGGAUGGACUCGCGGCUUAUCAGCUUGUUGGUGGGGUAGUGGCUUACCAAGGCUUUGACGGGUAGCCGGCCUGAGAGGGUGACCGGCCACAUUGGGACUGAGAGACGGCCCAGACUCAUACGGGAGGCAGCAGUGGGGAAUAUUGCACAAUGGGCGGAAGCCUGAUGCAGCAACGCCGCGUGCGGGAUGACGGCCUUCGGGUUGUAAACCGCUUUCGCCUGUGACGAAGCGUGAGUGACGGUAAUGGGUAAAGAAGCACCGGCUAACUACGU
rnacentral:rRNA from 1 species